CUUUAGAAUUUUAAGAUUUCUAAUAGAAAUUUAUAAUAAAAUGUCAGAAAUUCCAAAUUUUUGGCUAUUAGCGUUAAUUCACAGAUGCCACCAGUCCAUAUCUAAUAUUCAUGUACUCUUUAAAGGGAAACCGAGGGGAACCAAGUAUCUUUAGGUCUGAUAAAACGCGCACUGUGAAUGUUUUAAAUUGCUUCAAACAUUAUCGAUGUAAGUAAGCUCAUUGCCAUUGGCGAAGUAAUUUUCAAAA